UAUCUCUGUAGAGUCUGCAUAUCAAUAAGCGGAGGAAAAGAAACUAACAAGGAUUCCCCUAGUAACGGCGAGUGAAGCGGGAAGAGCUCAAAUUUGAGAAUCUUAAAGGGUUUCCCUUUACGAAUUGUAGUUUAAAGAAGUGUUUUCUGUUGGAGUUUCGGUAAAAGUUCUUUGGAAUAGGACAUCAUAGAGGGUGAGAAUCCCGUAUUUGACCGUUACUUUCCAGCCGUGUGAUACACUUUCAAAGAGUCGGAUUGUUUGGGAAUGCAGUCCAAGAUGGGUGGUAAAUUUCAUCUAAAGCUAAAUAUUGGCGAGAGACCGAUAGCGAACAAGUACCGUGAGGGAAAGAUGAAAAGAACUUUGAAAAGAGAGUUAAACAGUACGUGAAAUUGCCAAAAGGGAAGCGUUUGACACCAGUGUUGUUUAGUUGAAAAUCAAUUCAAUAGUUUUUGAUUCUAAGUAGUAUUGACUUCAUCAGCUUGCUGCUUUCUUCUCAGAAAUUAUUGAAUGCACUUUUCAGUUAACAAGUCAACAUCAAUUUCUUUUGUUGUAAAAGGGUAAGAGGAAGGUGGCUUGCGCUUCGGCUCAAGUGUUUAUAGCCUUUUAUCUCUGCAAUCGGAGAGAUUGAGGUCUGCAGCGUAGAUCCUUCGGGGUUAGAUACAUUGGUGCUAAGCUAUAGCCUUGUAUAGACAACUUGUUGACUAUGCUCAGUCAUGUAGCUUACUCGCUGAUGCUAUUUUACCUACGCUUAGGAUGUUGAAGAUGUAGCACAUCAU
rnacentral:rRNA from 1 species